GUCUCUGUGGUGCAAUCAGUUAGCACGUUCGGCUGUUAACUGAAAGGUUGGAAGUUCAAGCCCCUCCAGGGACG
rfam:Danio rerio chromosome 4, GRCz11 reference primary assembly.